AACGUAGGAGACAAACGUUAUCCGGAGUUACUGGGCGUAAAGGGCGUGCAGGCGGUCUGUUAAGUCUGGCGUGAAAGCUCUCGGCUAAACCGGGAGAGGUCGUUGGAUACUGACGGACUAGAGGACGGUAGAGGCGUGUGGAAUUCCGGGUGUAGUGGUGAAAUGCGUAGAGAUCCGGAGGAACACCGGUGGCGAAGGCGGCAUCCUGGACCGACACUGACGCUGAGGAGCGAAAGCCAGGGGAGCAAACGGG
rnacentral:rRNA from 1 species